rnacentral:rRNA from 1 species
GAUGAACGCUGGCGGCGUGCCUAAUACAUGCAAGUCGAGCGAACGGACGAGAAGCUUGCUUCUCUGAUGUUAGCGGCGGACGGGUGAGUAACACGUGGAUAACCUACCUAUAAGACUGGGAUAACUUCGGGAAACCGGAGCUAAUACCGGAUAAUAUUUUGAACCGCAUGGUUCAAAAGUGAAAGACGGUCUUGCUGUCACUUAUAGAUGGAUCCGCGCUGCAUUAGCUAAUUGGUAAGGUAACGGCUUACCAAGGCAACGAUGCAUAGCCGACCUGAGAGGGUGAUCGGCCACACUGGAACUGAGACACGGUCCAGACUCCUACGGGAGGCAGCAGUAGGGAAUCUUCCGCAAUGGGCGAAAGCCUGACGGAGCAACGCCGCGUGAGUGAUGAAGGUCUUCGGAUCGUAAAACUCUGUUAUUAGGGAAGAACAUAUGUGUAAGUAACUGUGCACAUCUUGACGGUACCUAAUCAGAAAGCCACGGCUAACUACGUG